AUUUCCGGUUGAUCCUCGCCGGACUCCACUGCUAUCGGGGUAAGGCUAAGCCAUGCAAGUCGAAGGCCUCCGGCUCCGGGGGCCUGGCGUACGGCUGAGUAACGCGUGGCCAACCUGCCCUGCGGAGGGGGAUAACCCCGGGAAACUGGGGAUAAACCCCCAUAGGUGACCAGGUCUGGAAGGACCGGUCGCCGAAAGUCCCGGUCGGGGAUGCUCCGGCCGGGAGCCGCAGGAUGGGGCUGCGUCCUAUCAGGUAGUUGGUGGGGUAACGGCCCACCAAGCCUGUGACGGGUAGGGGCCCUGAGAGGGGGAGCCCCCAGAUGGACUCUGAGACAAGAGUCCAGGCCCUACGGGGCGCAGCAGGCGCGAAAACUCCGCAAUGGGCAAAAGCCCGACGGGGUUACCCCGAGUGCCACCCUCGUGGUGGCUUUUGCCCGCUCUAA
rnacentral:rRNA from 1 species